CUCUGCUUUGCACGGACACCACAUUCUCCACUCAUCCACACACGGCACUCAUUACUGAUGACUGAUGGACAUGCAUCACUUUAACUUACUUUACCGUGAGUUGGUUGAAUAAACGAUUAUUGUUAAACUAUGUGGUCUCCUCUUUGUCAUUCCCCUGAUGAGUAUCACACAUAAUAAUAAUAUAAUAAUACAUUUAAUUUAGAGGCGCCUUUCAAGACACCCAAGGUCACCUUACAGAGCAUAUAGUCAUCAUUCAAAACUAUGUAAAACAGACUAGGAAUAAAAGGAAAACAGAGGUUAAACAUGAAGAAUAAUAAUAAUUAAUAACACUCAAAGACGCCUAAAGUGAAGGGGGGACCUCACUGUCACACACAUGACAGUUUGGUCGUUUUUUUGAGAGAUUGGGGAUUUGGAUUGGGGUAGAUUGUUUUGGGUACGUCUACAGGUGCUGGUAUUUUGGUAUAGGUUCUUGAAUUGGGAAUAUCUGGAGUUUUCCUUGCAUGCUUAGCAACUUGCUCUAACAGUUUGUUUGCAUCCUUUUUGUUUAAUGUGGUGGUGAAAGUGGGUAGAGCUAUAUGCACAGGAUCACGUCUCGGGUGUUCUGAGGGUCACUGCAUAGCAGGGGCUUUUCAGACCCACUAGUUUACAUUGAGUAAAUAGCCCCCGCAGGUUAUCACGAGAAGACUAGGGAUGAGUUACUGUACAUAGUUAGCCUUUGGGCAUUAUCUAGUCUAGGGCAGGGGACGCUCCAGUGUUCCUUUUAGCUAGUACUUGUAUUGCUAAGCACCUUUUUGGUUGGUUGGUAUGGUGCUAAGGUUGGUUGGUAUGGUGAUGAGUUGGUUGGUAUGGUGUUAAGGUUGGUUGGUAUGGUGAUGAGUUGGUUAGUAGGGUGAUGAGUUGGGUGGUAUGGUGUUAAGGUUGGUUGGUAUGGUGAUGAGUUGGUUAGUAGGGUGAUGAGUUGGUUGGUAUGGUGUUAAGGUUGGUUGGUAGGGUGAUGAGUUGGUUGGUAUGGUGUUAAGGUUGGUUGGUAUGGUGAUGAGUUGGUUAGUAGGGUGAUGAGUUGGGUGGUAUGGUGUUAAGGUUGGUUGGUAUGGUGAUGAGUUGGUUAGUAGGGUGAUGAGUUGGUUUUUAUGGUGUUAAGGUUGGUUGGUAGGGUGUUAAGGUUGGUUGGUAUGGUGAUGAGUUGGUUAGUAGGGUGAUGAGUUGGUUGGUAUGGUGUUAAGGUUGGUUGGUAGGGUGAUGAGUUGGGUGGUAUGGUGUUAAGGUUGGUUGGUAUGGUGAUGAGUUGGUUGGUAGGGUGAUGAGUUGGUUAGUAUGGUGAUGAGUUGGUUGGUAUGGUGUUAAGGUUGGUUGGUAGGGUGAUGAGUUGGUUAGUAGGGUGAUGAGUUGGUUAGUAGGGUGAUGAGUUGGUUGGUAUGGUGUUAAGGUUGGUUGGUAUGGAGAUGAGUUGGUUGGUAGGAGGUUAAAGUUGGUUGGCAGGGUGAUGAGUUGGUUGGUAUGGUGAUGAGUUGGUUGGUAGGGUGAUGAGUUGGUUGGUAGGGAGAUGAGUUGGUUGGUAGGGAGUUGAGUUGGUUGGUAGGGAGUUGAGUUGGUUGGUAUGGAGUUGAGUUUGUUGGUAGGGCGAUGAGUUGGUUGGUAGGGCGAU